CGGACGGGUGAGUAACGCGUGAGAAUCUGCCUUGGGGUCGGGGACAACCACUGGAAACGGUGGCUAUACCGGAUAGCCUUUGGGUAAAAAAUUAUUGCCCCGAGAGGAGCUCGCGUCUGAUUAGCUAGUUGGUGAGGUAAAAGCUCACCAAGGCAGCGAUCAGUAGCUGGUCUGAGAGGACGAUCAGCCACACUGGGACUGAGACACGGCCCAGACUCCUACGGGAGGCAGCAGUGGGGAAUUUUCCGCAAUGGGCGAAAGCCUGACGGAGCAAGACCGCGUGAGGGAGGAAGGCUCUUGGGUUGUAAACCUCUUUUCUCAGGGAAGAAGCUCUGACGGUACCUGAGGAAUCAGCCUCGGCUAACUCCGUGCCAGCAGCCGCGGUAAUACGGAGGAGGCAAGCGUUAUCCGGAAUUAUUGGGCGUAAAGCGUCCGCAGGUGGCGAUUCAAGUCUGCUGUCAAAGCACGGGGCUUAACUCCGUUAAGGCAGUGGAAACUGAAUAGCUAGAGUGCCGUACGGGUAGAGGGAAUUCCCGGUGUAGCGGUGAAAUGCGUAGAGAUCGGGAAGAACAUCGGUGGCGAAAGCGCUCUACUGGACGGCAACUGACACUCAGGGACGAAAGCUAGGGGAGCGAAUGGGAUUAGAUACCCCAGUAGUCCUAGCUGUAAACGAUGGAUACUAGGUGUAGCUUGUAUCGACCCGAGCUGUGCCGAAGCUAACGCGUUAAGUAUCCCGCCUGGG
rnacentral:rRNA from 1 species